AAGUCAAUGAGAUAUCUGAGGAAGAAAGAGUAUAAUAUGAAAUAUGAAGCCAUGGUAACCAAGAGAGAAGAGAAUUUUGCAUGAGAAAUGGAUGGAGUCACCCAGGCUGGAGUGCAGUGAUGCGAUCUCAGCUCAUCGUAACCUCUGACUUUCGGGUUCAGGUGAUCCUCCUGCUUCAGCCUUCCCAGUAGGUGAGAUUACAGGCUGAGGAGGAGGAGGAGGAGGAGAAGGAAGAGGAGGAAGAGGAGAGGCCUGGUGUUCUUGUGUCAGGGAUGGCAGAGACAGAGGAAAGUCUGCAUGUAAGUGGACCCGCUCAGUUCAAACCAGCUUUGUUCAAGGAUCAACUGUAGCACAGAAACAGCUAUGCCAUAUAUUUGUGGUAUAAAACAGGGGAG
rnacentral:lncRNA from 13 species